ACACCGGCAGCUCAAGUGGUAGCCAUUUUUAUUGGGCCUAAAGCGUUCGUAGCCGGUUUGAUAAGUCUCUGGUGAAAUCCUAUGGCUUAACUGUGGGAAUUGCUGGAGAUACUAUUAGACUUGAGGUCGGGAGAGGUUAGCGGUACUCCCAGGGUAGGGGUGAAAUCCUGUAAUCCUGGGAGGACCACCUGUGGCGAAGGCGGCUAACUGGAACGAACCUGACGGUGAGGGACGAAAGCCAGGGGCGCGAACCGGAUUAGAUACCCGGGUAGUCCUGGCCGUAAACGAUGUGGACUUGGUGUUGGGAUGGCUUCGAGCUGCCCCAGUGCCGAAGGGAAGCUGUUAAGUCCACCGCCUGGGAAGUACGGUCGCAAGACUGAA
rnacentral:rRNA from 2 species